rnacentral:lncRNA from 1 species
CUGACAUCUUCACCAAAUUUCCGCACCGCGUCAGAUUUGGAGCUAUCGUACCCAAGCUUGGAUUGGUAAGUAUAUACCGUCCAGCUUGAGGGGAGGCUAUUGAGAACCUUAUGGUUCUCCUAACUGUAAAAAGGACAAUUUAUUCUGUUUAUUUCCGGUUUUGUUCGUUUUUUCCCAUGGAACUCUAUAUAUAGAGUUCCUUCCCUUUUCCCCGAUGUAUGAAAAACAAGGUGUAACAUUCAUGUUUACUAAAAUAAGAAAAGAGUUCGUUUUUCUUACCUCUCUCACUAUGAUCUACGUUUUUGUCUUCUACGACACCGACAACCACCGUGCUUGAGCGUCGCCGGCUGUCCUUCGGCAGCUUCUCUCUCCAUCGCCUCCUGCAUCCUCUCGUCUCACUCUCUGUCUACUUUUCUUUUGCUUCUGGAUUAUGUCAUGCAUACAACUCAUUCUCAGACUUAUUCCAUUCACUGGCCAAUUCAUGUGUUGGGCCUUUUUCAUUUUAAGUGUGCAGUACUGGGCCAUGCUUAAUAGUUUUGACUCAUGGUGCCAGCAUUAAUCUCAAUCCACUCACUGGAAGUCCAUUUUGUAUUUUUCCUUAAAUGAAUGCGUUAAUCCAAAAACUUUUUAUUUAAUUAACUCCUAA